AGAGAGGAAACCAGGAAGUGAUCAGAUUUACAAGGGAACAAUACAGGGAUUAAACAGAGAAAAAUCCAUCAUUCAGGACCCUCAUCUUUGCAGUCAGAGUGGAGAGCAGCUACGAAAACCAUUUGUCCCUCUCGAGAAACCAGUAUGCCAAUGCAUGAAAUUAAACUCGCUUUAAAAGGAAUGUGUAAUACUUAAAGUCUCCUGAAGUGGCACUGCGCCACAGAUGAUCACUGGAGGCACAGCCCCAAGACUACCAUUGAUCAGCCCCACGGACGUAUCCUUGACCUGCCUGAUGGACAAGACGGCUCUCCCCUCCUCUCCUCUAACGAAUAGCCUCAGGAAGUCGGAGAGAUCCCAGGUCCACGCCGAUUUGACCGGUUGAGAACUUCUGCUGUCCGAAAGGCUUCACUUCAUGUUAUUUAUUGGGAACUUCAUAUUUUCUCCUUUUCUCUUUACAAGAUGUGAACCUUAGAAAAACAUUUCAUGUUUAUUAAUUUUAAGAUUUCUGUCUGCCAUGUUGGCCUGAGAUUAUCUGCUUACAACGUUGUAAUUUAGGAACAUAAAGUCAACCAUUUCCUUGGAAGCAGGAAGUACAGUUUUCCUGUACGGAUAAACAGGUGUUGCUAAUUCUGAAACAGAUUUGUGGAUUUUUAUGAUACUGUUACUUUGAUAGGUUGAAUUAGAAUAUCAUGAAUAUUAAUGAGCGUAAUGACUUAAAAUGAUGCGUUUAGUGGAAGAGUGCAGGAGUUUAAGUGAGGAAAAAAAUUGUAAAAUCUAAAGUAAAAAUUAUAAAAAUUUUAUAUUUAAAGUUUAAAGCAAUUUUAUUAAUAAAAAAAAUUAGCAUGAGAAGACAGACUUUUUCUGGUAAAAAAUACUGAUUUGUAAAAGAGUCAGCUAAAAAGAUAUGAUGACAUUUACUACAACGGUUCAUAAUAGCAGGGGAUUUUGUGCACUCCAUAUGACAGUUAAGCCAUUUUGCGGCCCCACACAGUAGUUAGCCCCCUUUGUGUCCCCUCACAAAAAUUAGCUCAUUUUGUGUCCUUCCCACAUUAGAUAGACCCCCUUACAGUAGUUAGUCCUGUAUGUGCCCCCUCACCCGAUAGAUAGAAACAUAGAAUAUGUUGGCAGAUAAGAACCAUUUGUCUGCCCAAUAUUCUGAAUACUAUGAAUAGUAACUGGCCCUAUCUUAUAUGAAGGAUAGCCUUAUGCUUAUCCCAUGCAUAUUUAAACUUCUUCACUGUAUUUGCAGAGACCACUUCUGCAGGAAGGCUAUUCCAUGCAUCAACUACUCUCUCAGUAAAGUAAUACUUCCUGAUAUUACUGCAGAAACCUUUCCUCUCUAAUUUAAAACUAUGUCCUCUUGUGGUAGUUUUUCUUAAUUCUCUUUGUGCCCCCUCACAGUUUUUAGCCACGUUUGUGCCCACUUACAAUUGUUAGCCACCAUUAUGCCCCUCACACAUUAGAUAGACGCCUGUAUGCCCCUUUUGCAAUACAAAAAAAAUUUAAAAAAGACUUACUUAAAGGUCACAUGAUAAGUUAGGACCUGCUACCCAAAUAUUACAAAUAAAAUCUGGUAGGCUGAGUUCCUUUCUACAUGAGAAGACACUAGUAAAAGCACCAGGAAUAUAAAUGGCACACAAUAGGCGGGGGUCUCUAUUACAUAUGAGUAUAACAGUAUUACAAAUGGCACAUGAAAGGUGAGGACCCUGCUUCAUAUAAAGACACCAGGAUAAUAAAUGGCACUUAAUAGGUGGAGGUGCUGCUACAUAUGAAGGCAUUAGUGUUGUAAAUGCACAUGGUAGAUGGGGAUCCUGCUACAUAUAAAGACACUAGGAUUAUAGAUGGCACAUGGUAGGUAGGGGUCAGGUUACAUAAGAAGACACCAGUAUUAUAAAUGGAACAUGUUUUAUAGGGGACAUGUUAUACAUUUUAUAUUGGGCAAGGGUUAUUAUCAAGGAUUGACUGACCAUUCUAUAUAUUCUAUUUAUUACCCUUGGGUUAUCCCACAAUUAUUGAUGCAUUGCCAAUAUUAAUAGGGGGGAGGGGCAUCUAACCAUCCUAGUUGGGGAGUUUUAGAGAAAAUAAAAUCAAGACAUUUUUUAAAGGCAAAUGUAGAGCUGAAUCUCUGGUUCAUUCCCAGCUUUCAUCUCCCUGAUAGAUUUUCUGUGUUGUAGAAAUAGAUAUUAUGUUGAUUGUAACAUAAUUAGUUGGUCUAAUAGUAAAAUCCAUGUGCUGCUAUACAAAACCAAUGAGUUGUCUGUCAACAUAUAGAUAAUUGUCCUCCGCUCAGCACACGGAUUGGCUGGAGAAGGAUUGUAGUUACCACAAACAUAGUUAAGAAGCACUUAAGUUGAGUUUGAGACUUCAGCUAAUUAUCCUGUGAUUGUUGUGUUAGAUUUUUACAAAAGGCACAGGUUGUUGCGGUGACAAAUAGUUUAAGCUAAGGUGACCAGACUUGCUCUUUUAAUGCAGCGAGCUUACGGCAAAGCACAUUACUUAAACAGAGUACUUUUCUCGCAAUUCUAUUCCCUGAGCAUGAAACAAUGCAAAACAUUUCUGAGUUAGAAAUAUAGUGUUAAAAUGUUAAAAAUGUUCAUAAAAAAUUAAUUCAUACACAAAGCGGAUAAAAGUAACAAAGACUCAUUUGUAUUUAGCUAAAAGAAAAAUCUGUAAAUAAAUGAGCAUCAGGUUCUACCAAUUAUAUCUCUGUGUAGUGUUUGAACCUCUGUCGAU